rnacentral:rRNA from 1 species
GUUGAACGCUGGCGGCAUGCUUUACACAUGCAAGUCGAACGGUAACAGGCCGCAAGGUGCUGACGAGUGGCGAACGGGUGAGUAAUGCAUCGGAACGUGCCCAGUCGUGGGGGAUAACGCAGCGAAAGCUGUGCUAAUACCGCAUACGAUCUGUGGAUGAAAGCGGGGGACCUUCGGGCCUCGCGCGAUUGGAGCGGCCGAUGUCAGAUUAGGUAGUUGGUGGGGUAAAGGCUCACCAAGCCAACGAUCUGUAGCUGGUCUGAGAGGACGACCAGCCACACUGGGACUGAGACACGGCCAAGACUCCUACGGGAGGCAGCAGUGGGGAAUUUUGGACAAUGGGCGAAGGCCUGAUCCAGCAAUGCCGCGUGCAGGAAGAAGGCCUUCGGGUUGUAAACUGCUUUUGUACGGAGCGAAAAGGCUCUCUCUAAUACAGGGGGCUCAUGACGGUACCGUAAGAAUAAGCACCGGCUAACUACGUGCCAGCAGCCGCCGUAACAC